rnacentral:rRNA from 1 species
UUUAAGUCCGCUAACGAGCGCAACCCUCGCUGUGUGUUUACAAAGUGUCACACAGGACCGCCGGUCUUAAGCCGGAGGAAGGUGGGGGAUGACGUCAAGUCAGCAUGGCCUUUAUGUCCAGGGCUACACACACGCUACAAUGGUCAGCACAAUAGGUAGCCAAGCCGCGAGGUGGAGCCAAUCCUCAAAGCUGGCCUCAGUUCAGAUCGCAGGCUGCAACCCGCCUGCGUGAAGCCGGAGUUGCUAGUAACCGCAGGUCAGCUACACUGCGGUGAAUACGUUCCCGGGGCUU